rnacentral:rRNA from 1 species
UACAGAGGUGGCAAGCGUUGUUCGGAAUUACUGGGCGUAAAGGGCGCGUAGGCGGUCCGAUAAGUCCUGUGUGAAAUCCCUCGGCUCAACUGAGGAACUGCACGGGAGACUGUCGGGCUUGAGUUCGGGAGAGGGAAGCGGAAUUCCGGGUGUAGCGGUGAAAUGCGUAGAUAUCCGGAGGAACACCGGUGGCGAAGGCGGCUUCCUGGACCGACACUGACGCUGAGGCGCGAAAGCUAGGGGAGCAAACAGG